rnacentral:rRNA from 1 species
AGCAGCCGCGGUAAUUCCAGCUCCAAUAGCGUAUAUUAAAGUUGUUGCAGUUAAAAAGCUCGUAGUUGAAUUUCAGGCCUGGCUGGGCGGUCCGCCUUUUGGGUGAGUACUGCCUGUGGUCGGGUCCUACCUUCUGGCGAAGCGUCAUGGCCUUAACCGGCCGUGGCGGGGAACCAGGACUUUUACUGUGAAAAAUUAGAGUGUUCAAAGCAGGCAGUCGCUUGGAUACAUUAGCAUGGAAUAAUGGAAUAGGACAGUGGUUCUAUUUGUUGGUUUCUAGGACCGUUGUAAUGAUUAAUAGGGAUAGUUGGGGGCAUUAGUAUUCAAUUGUCAGAGGUGAAAUUCUUGGAUUUAUUGAAGACUAACUACUGCGAAAGCAUUUGCCAAGGAUGUUUUCAUUAAUCAAGAACGAAAGUUAGGGGAUCGAAGACGAUCAGAUACCGUCGUAGU